rnacentral:rRNA from 1 species
AACGCGAAGAACCUUACCAGGGCUUGACAUGCGCGGUGCUGCCGUGGAGACACGGCGUCCUUUGGGGUCGCGCACAGGUGGUGCAUGGUUGUCGUCAGCUCGUGUCGUGAGAUGUUGGGUUAAGUCCCGCAACGAGCGCAACCCUCGUCCUGUAUUGCCAGCACGCCCUUAGGGGUGGUGGGGACUUGCGGGAGACUGCCGGGGUCAACUCGGAGGAAGGUGGGGACGACGUCAAAUCAUCAUGCCCCUUAUGUCCUGGGCUGCACGCAUGCUACAAUGGCCGGUACAGAGGGCUGCGAUGUCGUGAGGCGGAGCGAAUCCCUAAAAGCCGGUCUCAGUUCGGAUCGGGGUCUGCAACUCGACCCCGUGAAGUCGGAGUCGCUAGUAAUCGCAGAUCAGCAACGCUGCGGUGAAUACGUUCCCGGGCCUUGUACACACCGAGACGAC